rnacentral:rRNA from 1 species
UACGUAGGGUCCGAGCGUUGUCCGGAAUUAUUGGGCGUAAAGAGCUUGUAGGCGGUUUGUCGCGUCUGCUGUGAAAUCUCAAGGCUCAACCUUGAGCUUGCAGUGGGUACGGGCAGACUAGAGUGUGGUAGGGGAGACUGGAAUUCCUGGUGUAGCGGUGAAAUGCGCAGAUAUCAGGAGGAACACCGAUGGCGAAGGCAGGUUUCUGGGCCACUACUGACGCUGAGAAGCGAAAGCAUGGGGAGCGAACAGG